GUACGACGAGUUUGAUCAUGGCUCAGGAUUAACGCUAGCGGCAGGCCUAAUACAUGCAAGUCGAACGGGAUUCAAAGUAGCAAUAUUUUGAUGAGAGUGGCGCACGGGUGAGUAACACGUAUGCAAUUUACCUUUAACUGGGGGAUAGCCCUCCGAAAGGAGGAUUAAUACCGCAUAAUAUAUUGAAAUGGCAUCAUUUUAAUAUUAAACCUACGGGGGUUAAAGAUGAGCAUGCAUCCGAUUAGCUAGUUGGUGUGGUAACGGCUCACCAAGGCAACGAUCGGUAGGGGGUCUGAGAGGAUGAUCCCCCACACUGGUACUGAGACACGGACCAGACUCCUACGGGAGGCAGCAGUAAGGAAUAUUGGACAAUGGAGGCAACUCUGAUCCAGCCAUGCCGCGUGAAGGAUUAAGGCCCUAUGGGUUGUAAACUUCUUUUAGACGGGACAAAACCCCUUUACGUGUAAAGGGUUGAUGGUACUGUCAGAAUAAGCAUCGGCUAACUUCGUG
rnacentral:rRNA from 1 species